rnacentral:rRNA from 1 species
GACGUGACUUCAGAGUUUGAUCCUGGCUCAGGAUGAACGCUGGCGGCGUGCCUAACACAUGCAAGUCGAGCGAGAAACUCAUGACCAAUACUUCGGUAGCGUGAAUGAGCGGAAAGCGGCGGACGGGUGGAGUAACGCGUAGGCAACCUGCCCCUGGCAGAGGGGAUAGCCUCGGGAAACCGGGAUUAAAACCUCAUAACGCGUAAGUGAGACAUCUCACUAUACGCCAAAGAUUUAUCGGCUGGGGAUGGGCCUGCGUCUGAUUAGUUAGUUGGUGGGGUAACGGCCUACCAAGGCAGCGAUCAGUAGCCGACCUGAGAGGGUGAUCGGCCACAUUGGAACUGAGACACGGUCCAA